rnacentral:tRNA from 1 species
GCCGCAAUGGCUCAGUUGGUAGAGCGACGCAUUCGUAAUGCGUAGGUCACCGGUUCAAGUCCGGUUUGCGGCU